GAUGAACGCUGGCGGCGUGCCUAAUACAUGCUAGUCGAGCGAACGGACGAGAAGCUUGCUUUUCUGAUGUUAGCGGCGGACGGGUGAGUAACACGUGGAUAACCUACCUAUAAGACUGGGAUAACUUCGGGAAACCGGAGCUAAUACCGGAUAAUAUUUUGAACCGCAUGGUUCAAAAGUGAAAGACGGUCUUGCUGUCACUUAUAGAUGGAUCCGCGCUGCAUUAGCUAGUUGGUAAGGUAACGGCUUACCAAGGCAACGAUGCAUAGCCGACCUGAGAGGGUGAUCGGCCACACUGGAACUGAGACACGGUCCAGACUCCUACGGGAGGCAGCAGUAGGGAAUCUUCCGCAAUGGGCGAAAGCCUGACGGAGCAACGCCGCGUGAGUGAUGAAGGUCUUCGGAUCGUAAAACUCUGUUAUUAGGGAAGAACAUAUGUGUAAGUAACUGUGCACAUCUUGACGGUACCUAAUCAGAAAGCCACGGCUAACUACGUG
rnacentral:rRNA from 1 species